rnacentral:misc_RNA from 1 species
GGAGGCCUUACGAAUAGUUUCAUCAUUCAUUCACAAGCUCUCUAGUCUUUCAGGCGAAGAUAUUGGAAGAAUUCUUUCUUUUUCAAAUGUUUACUUGUUUUUGUGGCUACUCUCCAUAUUGUCUCUCUAUGGUUGUAUUUGUUGUUUGUAUCCUCUUUCUUUUUCACUGCAAUGGGAGUUGUAUCCCCGGACAUCUAUUCUUCUUUGUCCUAUCAACGAAG